UACGAAGGGGGCUAGCGUUGUUCGGAUUUACUGGGCGUAAAGCGCACGUAGGCGGGCUAAUAAGUCAGGGGUGAAAUCCCGGGGCUCAACCCCGGAACUGCCUUUGAUACUGUUAGUCUUGAGUAUGGUAGAGGUGAGUGGAAUUCCGAGUGUAGAGGUGAAAUUCGUAGAUAUUCGGAGGAACACCAGUGGCGAAGGCGGCUCACUGGACCAUUACUGACGCUGAGGUGCGAAAGCGUGGGGAGCAAACAGG
rnacentral:rRNA from 2 species